rnacentral:rRNA from 1 species
GUCCACGCCCUAAACUAUGUGUACUAGGUAUUGCGAGUAUCGACCCUCGCAGUGCCGUUUAAAAGCUAACGCGUUAAGUACACCGCCUGGGGAGUACGGCCGCAAGGUUAAAACUCAAAGGAAUAGACGGGGACCCGCACAAGCGGAGGAUCAUGCGGUUUAAUUCGAUGGUACGCGACAAACCUUACCGGGGCUCAACUACUAGCUGCAAGCCGUACGAAAGUAUGGCCGCCUUCGAGGGUGCUAGAUAGGUGCUGCAUGGUUGCCGU